AACGAACGCUGGCGGCAUGCCUAACACAUGCAAGUCGAACGAGACCUUCGGGUCUAGUGGCGCACGGGUGCGUAACGCGUGGGAACCUGCCCUUAGGUUCGGAAUAACUCCCCGUAAGGGGUGCUAAUACCGGAUAAUCUCUUCGGACCAAAGAUUUAUCGCCUUUGGAUGGGCCCGCGUUGGAUUAGCUAGUUGGUAGGGUAAAAGCCUACCAAGGCGACGAUCCAUAGCUGGUCUGAGAGGAUGAUCAGCCACACUGGGACUGAGACACGGCCCAGACUCCGACGGGAGGCAGAAGUGGAGAAUAUUAGAAAAUGGGCGAAAGACUGAGCCAGCAAUGCCGCGUGAGUGAUGAAGGCCUUAGGGUUGUAAAGCUCUUUUACCCGGGAUGAUAAUGACAGUACCGGGAGAAUAAGCUCCGGCUAACUCCGUG
rnacentral:rRNA from 1 species